AGUCACUGGGAACAUGCCUUUGGAGGGUAUAUCUCCUCUCUGGCUCUUUCACUUCUUUUCUGCUACCUGGAUGACAGGAAGUGAGCAACUUUCCAUGCCCUUCCACCAUGAUGUUUCUGCCUUGGAGCCAGCUAACCAUGGACUCAAACCUCUGAAACCAUGAGUCAAAAUAAACCUCUCCUCCUUUAAAUUGUUUUCUCAGGUAUUUGGUCAUAGGGACAAAAAGCUAAUAUAUUAAGCAAGGACCUUCAGGUAGAGAGGUUGUCCAGAAUUAUCGGGGUGGACCCAGUAUCAUCACAUGGGAUUUAGAAGCAAGACCUUUUCCAGCGGUAGACAGAGUGAGAUGCAACUGGAGAAGAGAGGCAGAGAGACUCGGUGUUGCUGACUUUGACGAUGGAGCCAGGAGGCCGUAAUCUGAGGGGCAGGGGCAGCCACUAGAAGCUGAGAAGGCCAGGAAACAGACUCUCCACUAAGGUUUACCAGAAGGGACAGCAGCCCUACCAUCACCUUGGCUGGGGCUCAGCGAGAUCCAAGUCGGACUUCUGACCUGUGGAACUGCAAGGAUUUUGCACACAGAACAGCCCAUAUGUGAUGCUCUAUGUAUAGAACACCAGGCGCAGCUGAUUCCAAAAUCAUCCUUAAUGCUUCUCACAUACGUCUUAUGAGGGCAUCGGAUCUGAAAGUGUCCCAAAUGCUUCUGCUGCCGAGCUUUCUAGUACUUGGACAUCGCUGGACAGCAGAGGAGAAUUGGUGCCCCAUAAUUUGAUGAUAAAACAUCUGGGCGCUGCCGAGAAUGCAAAGUCUUGGCAGCAGGGCACUGUGUGCAUCUUACCUCCUCGGUGACCCCACCACCCAGCACAUCAGAGACACUGCUAAAUAUUUUGAAAUUAACCCAGGUCUCGUGUCCUAAAAAACAUAUUCUGCUAAUGAACUCAUCACUGGAUUUAUCCACUCAGUGAAGUCAGUUCCCCUCAUAAUCCAACCACCUCUCUAGGAAGCUCUUCAUUCCAGUCAAGCAAACUGCCUUCCAGCUUAUUCAUCCACUGCAGAUAACUGGACAAGAAGCUUUACAAGGCUCUUCCCAACUCUCACAGGAGAUGAUUCCAUGAUUGUCUUCAUAAUCACUACCUGUUAUGGCUUGUGUCUAGAUGUCCCCCAGAACUUCAUGUGGUCAUAGAGGGUGCUUUUCAGAAGUGGCUGGAUCUAGAGUGUGAUCCUAGGACUAAGUGUGUGAUGCUGGGAUCAAGGAUGUGUGACUACUAAAUUAGCCCACUGAUUGGUUUAGCAUAGUUCUAAGAGCAGAUAAUGGGAAGGUCCACCCUGAGUGUGAGUGCUACCUGCUCUAAGGGUGUGUGGCCUGGAAAGAAUAUAAGGGACAGAAAGAGGGCUGCUGUGGUUGCUUGCUGCUUGAUGAUUACUACUUCUCUGCUUUGCUGCCUUCCUGCCUUCUGCCCACCAUGAACUGUUUCUCCUCUGUGAUGCCCCUCUGCUAUGCCACCCUGCCUAGAAGCCAGCCGACUAUGAACUGAAACCUCUACAAACUGUGAGGCAAAACAAACCUUUCCACCUUUAAGUGUCAAGUUUUUGUCUCAGCAAUGAGAAAAGUAAUUAAGACACCAUCUAAAGGCACUUGUCUUCUUGGGUCUUUGUUUCCUCAUCUGUCAAAUGUCCAGAUACUCUCCAGAGCUAUCUACCUCUAACUUCCAAGAUUUAUGAAAGGCAGAGUUAAAGCCCAAGGAUCCCUUGCAGCACUUAGUGGAAGAAACACAAGAAACCAGCCCAAAACCAUAACAGAAGGGUUUCCAUACACAAGCAGGACUUAUUUCCACAAGUCUUUCAGAAGUGCCCUAUCCACUAAGGAGAAUUUUGUACACUGAGAGCUUCAUCCAGUUGUUCUAAUUUGAUGGAAAGUCAGCUGAAGAGGAGCUAACCAGUUGCUGGGUCCAGAAUGCUGGGAAGACAGGAUAGAAAUCAACAGAGAGACAUCAGAACUAGAAUGACCAUAAUAGACCCUUUGUUCUCUGCUGCUUAAUAAUAGCAAGCUCGUUCCCACAGCUCUUUGUAGCUUGUGUGGUGCUUCCUGCAUGCAUCAUUCCAUUUAAGCAAUGGGACAACCUGGCCAAAUGGAUAGCAUUUUUGUUUCCAUUUUGCAGCCAAGUUACCAAGGCUUGGGGAUAUUUGCUAACUUGUGAUACUAGACUAGGAUUUGCACUGAGGUUCUCUGAUGUCUCAUUCUUCUGCUACUUUAUGUGUCCAAGUAGCCUCUCAUUGAGGAAGAAAAGAAGUAGCCUGUUUAUUUAGAAAUUAAUAGGUGUGUUUUUUCUGAAAUGUUCAGAAAGAAACCCAUGGUCCUUGCCAUCGCUCUGACAUUACCAGGUGCACUGGACCCCAAUGGUGGACUGGCCUUGAAGCUAAGGGAUAUUAAUGGCACAGCACAGCACAGCCAAUAGCUGAGCAAAUAGGGUGUGGUGCAGAUAGGUCUACUCUGACAUCAGAUUCUAUCAGCUGUGUGACCUUGGGUGAAUUACCUGCCUUCUUUAAGUCUCACUAUCCUGGGAGCAUUAAUAGUAGGUACCAGUAUAAGAUUGCUUUGAAAUAUAAAUGAAAUACAUAUGCAGUGCCAACCCUAGUGCCUGUCAAAUAGGAAACCUUUAAAAAUGAUGUUGCUACAUUUAACACUAUUUUUUCAACAGAAG
rnacentral:lncRNA from 1 species